rnacentral:ncRNA from 1 species
CAAGUUGGAUGGGAAGUGGUGUUUCCAGUGGCAGACGGAUGAGUAACGCAUAAGAACCUGCUUUUGGAAGAGGAACAAUAAUUGAAAACGGUUGUUAAUACCCCAUAGGCUGAGAGGAGGGACUCUCGUCCGAUUAGCUAGUUGGUGAGGCAAUAGCUCACCAAGGCGAUGAUCAGUAGCUGGUCCGAGAGCAUGAUCAGCCACAUUGGGACUGAGACACGGUCCAGACUCCUAGUAUAAGAUCAUUAUGAGGUUG